GAUGAACGCUGGCGGCGUGCCUAAUACAUGCAAGUCGAGCGAACAGACGAGGAGCUUGCUCCUCUGACGUUAGCGGCGGACGGGUGAGUAACACGUGGAUAACCUACCUAUAAGACUGGGAUAACUUCGGGAAACCGGAGCUAAUACCGGAUAAUAUAUUGAACCGCAUGGUUCAAUAGUGAAAGACGGUUUUGCUGUCACUUAUAGAUGGAUCCGCGCCGCAUUAGCUAGUUGGUAAGGUAACGGCUUACCAAGGCAACGAUGCGUAGCCGACCUGAGAGGGGGAUAGGCCACACUGGAACUGAGACACGGUCCAGACUCCUAAGGGAGGCAGCAGUAGGGAAUCUUCCGCAAUGGGCGAAAGCUUGACGGAGCAACGCCGCGUGAGUGAUGAAGGUCUUCGGAUCGUAAAACUCUGUUAUUAGGGAAGAACAAAUGUGUAAGUAACUAUGCACGUCUUGACGGUACCUAAUCAGAAAGCCACGGCUAACUACGUG
rnacentral:rRNA from 1 species